rnacentral:rRNA from 1 species
GCGUGGGUGAAGAAGGUCUUCGGAUCGUAAAGCCCUUUCGACAGGGACGAUGAUGACGGUACCUGUAGAAGAAGCCCCGGCUAACUUCGUGCCAGCAGCCGCGGUAAUACGAAGGGGGCUAGCGUUGCUCGGAAUUACUGGGCGUAAAGGGCGCGUAGGCGGCUUAGUCAGUCAGGCGUGAAAUUCCUGGGCUUAACCUGGGGGCUGCGCUUGAUACGGCUAGGCUUGAGGGUAGGAGAGGGUCGUGGAAUUCCCAGUGUAGAGGUGAAAUUCGU